AAAUUGAAGAGUUUGAUCAUGGCUCAGAUUGAACGCUGGCGGCAGGCCUAACACAUGCAAGUCGAACGGUAGCACAGAGAGCUUGCUCUCGGGUGACGAGUGGCGGACGGGUGAGUAAUGUCUGGGAAACUGCCUGAUGGAGGGGGAUAACUACUGGAAACGGUAGCUAAUACCGCAUAACGUCGCAAGACCAAAGAGGGGGACCUUCGGGCCUCUUGCCAUCAGAUGUGCCCAGAUGGGAUUAGCUAGUAGGUGGGGUAACGGCUCACCUAGGCGACGAUCCCUAGCUGGUCUGAGAGGAUGACCAGCCACACUGGAACUGAGACACGGUCCAGACUCCUACGGGAGGCAGCAGUGGGGAAUAUUGCACAAUGGGCGCAAGCCUGAUGCAGCCAUGCCGCGUGUAUGAAGAAGGCCUUCGGGUUGUAAAGUACUUUCAGCGGGGAGGAAGGUGUUGUGGUUAAUAACCGCAGCAAUUGACGUUACCCGCAGAAGAAGCACCGGCUAACUCCGUGCCAGCAGCCGCGGUAAUACGGAGGGUGCAAGCGUUAAUCGGAAUUACUGGGCGUAAAGCGCACGCAGGCGGUCUGUCAAGUCGGAUGUGAAAUCCCCGGGCUCAACCUGGGAACUGCAUUCGAAACUGGCAGGCUAGAGUCUUGUAGAGGGGGGUAGAAUUCCAGGUGUAGCGGUGAAAUGCGUAGAGAUCUGGAGGAAUACCGGUGGCGAAGGCGGCCCCCUGGACAAAGACUGACGCUCAGGUGCGAAAGCGUGGGGAGCAAACAGGAUUAGAUACCCUGGUAGUCCACGCCGUAAACGAUGUCGACUUGGAGGUUGUGCCCUUGAGGCGUGGCUUCCGGAGCUAACGCGUUAAGUCGACCGCCUGGGGAGUACGGCCGCAAGGUUAAAACUCAAAUGAAUUGACGGGGGCCCGCACAAGCGGUGGAGCAUGUGGUUUAAUUCGAUGCAACGCGAAGAACCUUACCUACUCUUGACAUCCAGAGAACUUUCCAGAGAUGGAUUGGUGCCUUCGGGAACUCUGAGACAGGUGCUGCAUGGCUGUCGUCAGCUCGUGUUGUGAAAUGUUGGGUUAAGUCCCGCAACGAGCGCAACCCUUAUCCUUUGUUGCCAGCGGUCCGGCCGGGAACUCAAAGGAGACUGCCAGUGAUAAACUGGAGGAAGGUGGGGAUGACGUCAAGUCAUCAUGGCCCUUACGAGUAGGGCUACACACGUGCUACAAUGGCGCAUACAAAGAGAAGCGAACUCGCGAGAGCAAGCGGACCUCAUAAAGUGCGUCGUAGUCCGGAUUGGAGUCUGCAACUCGACUCCAUGAAGUCGGAAUCGCUAGUAAUCGUAGAUCAGAAUGCUACGGUGAAUACGUUCCCGGGCCUUGUACACACCGCCCGUCACACCAUGGGAGUGGGUUGCAAAAGAAGUAGGUAGCUUAACCUUCGGGAGGGCGCUUACCACUUUGUGAUUCAUGACUGGGGUGAAGUCGUAACAAGGUAACCGUAGGGGAACCUGCGGUUGGAUCACCUCCUUA
rnacentral:rRNA from 3 species